UGGGGAAUUUUGGACAAUGGGCGAAAGCCUGAUCCAGCAAUGCCGCGUGUGUGAAGAAGGCCUUCGGGUUGUAAAGCACUUUUGUCCGGAAAGAAAUCCUCUGGGUUAAUACCUCGGGGGGAUGACGGUACCGGAAGAAUAAGCACCGGCUAACUACGUGCCAGCAGCCGCGGUAAUACGUAGGGUGCAAGCGUUAAUCGGAAUUACUGGGCGUAAAGCGUGCGCAGGCGGUUUUGUAAGACGGAUGUGAAAUCCCCGGGCUUAACCUGGGAACUGCAUUCGUGACUGCAAGGCUAGAGUAUGGCAGAGGGGGGUAGAAUUCCACGUGUAGCAGUGAAAUGCGUAGAGAUGUGGAGGAAUACCGAUGGCGAAGGCAGCCCCCUGGGCCAAUACUGACGCUCAUGCACGAAAGCGUGGGGAGCAAACAGGAUUAGAUACCCUGGUAGUCCACGCCCUAAAACGAUGUCAACUAGUUGUUGGGGAUUCAUUUCCUUAGUAACGUAGCUAACGCGUGAAGUUGACCGCCUGGGGAGUACGGUCGCAAGAUUAAAAACUUAAAGGAAUUGACGGGGUCAUAGCUGUUUCC
rnacentral:rRNA from 1 species